UACGGGGGGGGCAAGCGUUGUUCGGAAUUACUGGGCGUAAAGGGCUCGUAGGUGGCCAACUAAGUCAGACGUGAAAUCCCCAGGCUCAACCUGGGAACUGCGUCUGAUACUGGAUGGCUUGAAUUCGGGAGAGGGAUGCAGAAUUCCAGGUGUAGCGGUGAAAUGCGUAGAUAUCUGGAGGAAUACCGGUGGCGAAGGCGGCAUCCUGGACCGACAUUGACGCUGAGGAGCGAAAGCUAGGGGAGCAAACGGG
rnacentral:rRNA from 1 species